rnacentral:rRNA from 1 species
UUAAGCAUAUCAAUAAGCGGAGGAAAAGAAACUAACAAGGAUUCCCCUAGUAACUGCGAGUGAAGCGGGAAAAGCUCAAAUUUAAAAUCUGGUGGCCUUUGGUCAUCCGAGUUGUAAUUUAGAGAAGUGUCUUCCGCGCUGAACCGUGCACAAGUCUCCUGGAAUGGAGCGUCAUAGAGGGUGAGAAUCCCGUCUUUGGCACGGAACAUCAGGGCUUCUGUGAUGCGCUCUCGACGAGUCGAGUUGUUUGGGAAUGCAGCUCAAAAUGGGUGGUGAACUCCAUCUAAAGCUAAAUAUUGGCGAGAGACCGAUAGCGAACAAGUACCGUGAGGGAAAGAUGAAAAGCACUUUGGAAAGAGAGUGAAACAGUACGUGAAAUUGUUGAAAGGGAAACGCUUGAAGUCAGUCGCGUUGACCGAGACUCAACCUUGCCUCGGCUUGGUGUACUUCUCGGCUGACGGGUCAGCAUCAAUUUUGAUCCUUGGAUAAUGGCAAGGGAAAGGUAGCACCUUUUUAGGUGUGUUAUAGUCCUUUGUCGCAUACGGGGGUUGGGAUUGAGGAACUCAGCACGCACCUCUCGGUGUCGGGGCCUCGGCCCACGCUACGUGCUUAGGAUGCUGGCGUAAUGGCUUUAAACGACCCGUCUUGA